CUUCUGACAGCCAGGAACAAGAAAGCCUGUUUUCACAGCAACCCCAGCGGGCACUCAGCUUCUCCAGUACAAAGCGCCUUCCAGCAGAGGCACAUUGGUGGAAACAUCAGCCUUUGUGUCAUCUGUGUAUUAAUUUACUAUAGUACACGUGCUGCUGGGCUACCUGAAAUAUACAGAAAGAAACAACUCAAACACCCUCACAGAGGUGACAAGAACAAAAAAAAUUUAGAAAUAAUUCCUUCAUGGAGGCAGGGGCAAGGAAGGAAGACUCAGUUAUUCUGUCAGGUAUACUUGGUGAGUUUUUUGGUUGUGUUUUUUUUUUGUUUGUUUUGUUUUUGUUUUUUCCAAAAAAUCUUGUAGAAAUAUCUUUGCUUAAAAGGAAAAACUGUUUUAUUAAAAGUACUCCUCUGUAGAAUUAAUAUUUGCCCAUGAGAAAAACAGCCUCCUCUAAUUUUGACUGCUUAUCCCUGCUCCCUUUAUCUUUCUGUAAAGUCCUACACCCACUGAGCUCACGUAAAAUUAUAUGAUGCUUGAGUUCCUGACUUCCUAAGUUCAACACAAAGAAGGAACCUGAAUGCUGCUGCAGAAUGCCUAACUGCUGAUGUCCAGAAUGUCUUAUGUGAUAUACAACUUGGAAAGUAGCCACACUUUCCUCAGUAAAAGAAAAAAAAAAAAAAAAGAAAGGAGGGAAAAAAAAAAUUACUUUGCCUUCCUGCAAAGAUGCAAACCCUAAGGGUUCCAAGAGAAGUUGCAUGAAUGAGCAAAUUUUAAUAAUUGGAGGAUCUCAUUGUUUCUAAAUGUGUUGGGCUUUGGCACCUUGUUUCAUUACGUUUUGUUUUUUUGUUGGUUUGGUAGUUUUGUUUUAUUCUCAAAUCACUGGCUGGUGGCACUGAAGUGUAUCUAUUGUGCAAUGACACUAAGGUAGGAAGGUUGAUGUAAA
rnacentral:lncRNA from 1 species